GUCAGGUACAUCGAAAAGGGCUACCUAUUGUCAAAGAUUAGCGGACUUGUAUGAGGAACCCGAGCAUAGGUCCGUAGGAGAGUCUUGAUGCCCAACACCUUAUGCCAUCUGGUGUGGGAGUGUUGACUGAAUGCUCGAUACACGGAGGAAUCAUUACAAGAGUAAAAGUGUAUAAUUUAUUUAUAAAUGCAAAAUAAAUAAAUAAAUAAAUAAAUAAAUAAACAGCAAAAAAGAAAAUAAUAUUGACCUUGAAUAAGACGAUAGCGUGAAAGCCAUCGUUGUAAAAAUUCGAGUAAACUGGAAUAUUACAGAUAAAGCCCAUGAGGUAUUAAAGUAAAUAUCCACAACUCUCGAAAUCCUGCAAGAUAAGGAUGAUUUUGAAUCAGUAAAUAGGUCUUAUCUGACCCAUUCUUGGAAACUACUAGCUUUAGCAAUAUUUUGGAAAAUCUAAAGCCUUAGCUUGUGUAUGGUCCAGAUAUCACCAAGCAUCCAAGUAUAAAUAAACCUUACAACUCUCUAACAGAAGCUUAAUAACCUCAACUGGAAUUGCAUCUUGACCUAGGAUUUAGGUUGACUUAGUAAUUAAAACUUUGUGUGCUUAUGCAUUUGAAAUCAAAUUUUAUAAAACAGUAAAAUAAAUUCUUUAGAGACAGCAAUUUGUGGGUAUCUGAGCCGGAAACCCUCACGAGACAAAACUCGUCCACUAGGGCUACCUAGAGGUUUAAAGCCUUAUUGCAUACGGUAAAUGCAAUCGCGAUUCCUGCGAAAGUGAGUUAGUUUUUAUUUUGCUUGAGGACUAGCAAAAUGUAGGUUUGGGGGUGUGAUAAGUGCUAAAUAAUGCAUAUAUUAUUAUCUUUCUCAUAGCACUUAUCAUUAUUUUAAUACACAUAUUUUGUAAAGUUAACCAUAAAAGAUGUGUUACCCUCAUCAUUGCAUUUUAAUAAAUUAAUUCGAGUUUGAUUUAAUUAAUUGAGCCUAAUGUAUGCAGGUCGAGUCAAGCUCAAUAAGAUAAAGUCUAAACCUACACUGCAUCAUUUCAUAAAUUCACAUCCUCCGGAGUCGACUCUAAGAACUUUCCUCCAAAACCUAGUGCUUCCCAUUAAUUCCCAUCUUUACCUAAUUCUCUUCCC
rnacentral:lncRNA from 1 species